rnacentral:rRNA from 1 species
AAGCUGGAAUCGCUAGUAAUCGCAAAUCAGAAUGUUGCGGUGAAUACGUUCCCGGGCCUUGUACACACCGCCCGUCACACCAUGGGAGUUGGAAGCACCCGAAGUCGAUGACCUAACCGAGAGGGAGGAGUCGCCGAAGGUGAAGCCAGUGACUGGGGUGAAGUCGUAACAAGGUAAC